GUGGGGAAUCUUAGACAAUGGGGGAAACCCUGAUCUAGCCAUGCCGCGUGAGCGAUGAAGGCCUUAGGGUUGUAAAGCUCUUUCAGCUGGGAAGAUAAUGACGGUACCAGCAGCAGAAGCCCCGGCUAACUCCGUGCCAGCAGCCGCGGUAAUACGGAGGGGGCUAGCGUUGUUCGGAAUUACUGGGCGUAAAGCGUUCGUAGGCGGACUAGAAAGUUGGAGGUGAAAUCCCAGGGCUCAACCUUGGAACUGCCUUCAAAACUCGUGGUCUGGAGUGCGAGAGAGGUGAGUGGAAGUCCGAGUGUAGAGGUGAAAUUCGUAGAUAUUCGGAGGAACACCAGUGGCGAAGGCGGCUCACUGGCUCGAUACUGACGCUGAGGUGCGAAAGCGUGGGGAGCAAACAGGAUUAGAAACCCCAGUAGUCC
rnacentral:rRNA from 1 species